rfam:Toxocara canis scaffold806, whole genome shotgun sequence.
UGAGCACUAGCUCAGUGGUAGAGCUUUCGCCUUAUAUGCGGAAAGACCUGGUUUCGAUUUUCGGCUGCUUCC